rfam:Cavia porcellus supercont2_65 genomic scaffold, whole genome shotgun sequence.
GGGGAUUUAGCUCAGUGGUAUAAGCACCUGCCUUGCAAGCACAUAGUCAUGAGUUCAAUCCCCG